rnacentral:rRNA from 1 species
UACUGGAUAACUGUGGAAUUCUGAGCUAAUACAUGCGACCAGCUCCGACCCCUCGGGGAAGAGCGCUUUUAUUAGCACAAACCCAGCGGGUUCUGCCCGUCCUUUGGGGACUCUGGAUACUUUGUGCCGUCGCAUGGCCUCGAGCCGGGGAGAUCUUUCAAAUGUCUGCCUAUCAAAUGACGAUGGUACGUGAUCUGCUCCAGUUAGCACGGGUAGCGGGGAAUCAGGUUCGCUUCCGAGAGGGAGCAUAGAAACGGUACCACAUCCACGGAAGGGAGAAGGGGCGCAACUUACCCACUCCUGGAACGGGGAGGGUGAGAAAAAUAACAACGGAACUCUC